GGCAGAGAGAGCCCGACCCCCGUGCCCCGUUCUGCGGGGCAUGAGGAAAGUCCCCCCACCGUCCGGACAGGUGACCGGGCGCAAGCCCGGAGUCGGAGACGACUGGCUCUGGAACAGAAACGAGACCACUCGGCCCGACCGAUGAGACGUGCGAACCCGACCGCGAGGAAGGGGAGUUAACCCGUCGAGGGUCGCGAGAUGUGAUCAGCAUCUCCCCGUGUGCGGGCGUCACGCCCGCCACCGACGGCCGAGAACGGAUGGAACGGCGAAUCCUCGCCGGUGCAAGUCCGCGCCACGCGGCGGCCGAGGACACGAUUCGUGUGUCGUCGGCCGCCCGAAGGUAGUCCGGACGACGGACGCGGACGCUCAGCCGAAUGUCGGGAGGAACAGAAGGGGGCUUACUCCUCUCAGCC
rnacentral:RNase_P_RNA from 1 species